rnacentral:rRNA from 1 species
UAGCCGUAAACGAUACUCGCUAGGUGUCGGCCACGGUGCGACCGUUGUCGGUGCCGUAGGGAAGCCGUGAAGCGAGCCACCUGGGAAGUACGGCCGCAAGGCUGAAACUUAAAGGAAUUGGCGGGGGAGGCACAACAACGGGUGGAGCUUGCGGGUUUAAUUUGGAUUCAACGCCGGAAAUACUUACCGGGACCGGACAGCAACAUGAAGGCCAAGCUGAAGACUUUGCCGGAUUAGCUGAGAGGUGGUGCAUGGCGUAGUCGUGU